rnacentral:rRNA from 1 species
CACCGCGGUUAUACGAUAGGCCCAAGUUGACGGAACUCGGCGUAAAGGGUGGUUAAUAUGUUCAUGACUAAAGUCGAACUCCCUCAGGGCUGUCAUAAGCGCACGAGGGCAAGAAGCACAACAACGAAAGUGACUUUAAUACUUAUGACUCCACGUAAGCUAGGGAA